rnacentral:ncRNA from 1 species
CCACGGGUCGUCAACUUCUUUUCCCGGAGAAGAAUCAAUGACGGUAUCUGGGGAAUAAGCAUCGGCUAACUCUGUGCMAGCAGCMGCGGUAAUACAGAGGAUGCAAGCGUUAUCCGGAAUGAUUGGGCGUAAAGCGUCUGUAGGUGGCUUUUCAAGUCCGCCGUCAAAUCCCAGGGCUCAACCCUGGACAGGCGGUGGAAACUACUAAGCUGGAGUACGGUAGGGGCAGAGGGAAUUUCHGGUGGAGCGGUGAAAUGCGUAGAGAUCGGAAAGAACACCAACGGUGAAAACUCGGCCUACGGGUUCAAACUAUUCCUCGAGCUUGAGCUCUACCUCGGGUUCACUAAGGCUGUCGGGGGAUACAGCUCGGUUCGUAGAACCUGCAUC